UAGGGAAUCUUCCGCAAUGGACGCAAGUCUGAUGGGGCAACGCCGCGUGAGUGAAGAAGGGUUUCGGCUCGUAAAGCUCUGUUGUUAAAGAAGAACGUGGGUAAGAGUAACUGUUUACCCAGUGACGGUAUUUAACCAGAAAGCCACGGCUAACUACGUGCCAG
rnacentral:rRNA from 1 species